CAAGUCGAGGGGCAGCGGAGCGGAGUGCUUGCACUCUGCUGCCGGCGACCGGCGCACGGGUGAGUAACACGUAUGCAACCUGCCCCGGAGCGGGGGAUAACCCGGCGAAAGCCGGACUAAUACCGCGUAUAUAUCCAGGAGGCAUCUUCUGGAUAGGAAAGGACUUCGGUCCGCUCCGGGAUGGGCAUGCGGCGCAUUAGGCAGACGGCGGGGUAACGGCCCACCGUACCGACGAUGCGUAGGGGUUCUGAGAGGAAGGCCCCCCACACUGGUACUGAGACACGGACCAGACUCCUACGGGAGGCAGCAGUGAGGAAUAUUGGUCAAUGGGCGAGAGCCUGAACCAGCCAAGCCGCGUGAGGGAAGAAGGCGCUCAGCGUCGUAAACCUCUUUAGCCGGGGGACAAAACCUCCUCGCGAAGGAGGCUUGAGAGUACCCGGAGAAUAAGCAUCGGCUAACUCCGUGCCAGCAGCCGCGGUAAUACGGAGGAUGCGAGCGUUAUCCGGAUUUAUUGGGUUUAAAGGGUGCGCAGGCGGACAUUCAAGUCUGCGGUCAAAUUCCGGGGCUCAACCCCGGCCAGCCGUGGAAACUGAAUGACUUGAGUGGGCGAGAGGUAUGCGGAAUGCGCGGUGUA
rnacentral:rRNA from 1 species